CUUCAGGAAAUCCUGGAUCCACAAAGCAGUUUAUUGUCUAUAGGAGGUACACAACCCAACAAACAAGUUUGCUAGCAGACUGCUAGGAUACAAUUACCACCCAAAGCUCAUGGGAGUGAGAAAGCUAAACAACAUAGAAUGAAUUCACAUGGAAGGGACUUCUACCUUUUCAUGAGCAGUUCCACGUCCCCCAGCUCAAUAGUGCGGCGUCCUGCAUGUCCACUGAACGCCACCAAGUCAGCUGCCUGUUGCUUGAAAAACAUCACUGACCUGAAAGUGGUUAAUCAACUGAUAUUCACUCUAAAUAUUUAUGUACUGUAAAGAGGUAUUUAUGGACUUGGGAUUUAUCCUAUAAAACAUAAGGAUUCCUUUG